rnacentral:rRNA from 1 species
CCUACGGGGUGCUGCAGUGGGGAAUAUUGGACAAUGGGCGAAAGCCUGAUCCAGCCAUGCCGCGUGUGUGAAGAAGGCCUUCGGGUUGUAAAGCACUUUCAGUGGGGAAGAAAGCCUUGGGGCUAAUACCCUCGAGGAAGGACAUCACCCACAGAAGAAGCACCGGCUAACUCCGUGCCAGCAGCCGCGGUAAUACGGAGGGUGCGAGCGUUAAUCGGAAUUACUGGGCGUAAAGCGCGCGUAGGCGGUCUGAUAAGCCGGUUGUGAAAGCCCCGGGCUCAACCUGGGAACGGCAUCCGGAACUGUCAGGCUAGAGUGCAGGAGAGGAAGGUAGAAUUCCCGGUGUAGCGGUGAAAUGCGUAGAGAUCGGGAGGAAUACCAGUGGCGAAGGCGGCCUUCUGGACUGACACUGACGCUGAGGUGCAAAAGCGUGGGUAGCAAACAGGAUUAGAUACCCCUGUAGUC